UACGAAGGGUGCAAGCGUUACUCGGAAUUACUGGGCGUAAAGCGUGAGUAGGUGGUUUCUUAAGUCUGCUGUGAAAGCCCCGGGCUCAACCUGGGAAUUGCAGUGGAUACUGGGAAGCUAGAGUGCGGUAGAGGGUAGUGGAAUUCCCGGUGUAGCGGUGAAAUGCGUAGAGAUCGGGAGGAACACCAGUGGCGAAGGCGGCUACCUGACGAGCCAGUCACACUGAGACGAAGCAC
rnacentral:rRNA from 1 species